rnacentral:misc_RNA from 1 species
UGGACCAAGUUUGCAGGCAAUCUCUCCCUCCUGUAGCUGUCGAAGUAAGCGAGACUGGAGGACAUUCCUGGGGUGCUGAUACCCGAGUUGAUGGCCAAGCAUACAACUCUACGCCAAGCUGACUGUCGUUCGACGAUUUCCUUUGCAAACUCUGUAUCCACAAGGAGAUUGGCUAGAUCGGGUUUUCGAUCAUAGGCCCUCUUGAUUCUAUCAAGAAACACGGCUCGAAUGAUACAACCUCCCUUCCAAAUCCGGGCAAGUUCACCCAACUUCAAAUCCCAUCCCUUCUCGAUACUCUUGGCACGG